UACGUAGGUGGCAAGCGUUGUCCGGAUUUAUUGGGUUUAAAGGGGUGCGUAGGCGGUCUUUUAAGUCAGUGCUGAAAUAUCCCGGCUUAACCGGGAGGGUGGCAUUGAUACUGAAGGACUUGAGUUCAGUCGAGGUAGGCGGAAUUGACGGUGUAGCGGUGAAAUGCUUAGAUAUCGUCAAGAACACCGAUAGUGUAGACAGCUUACUAGGCUGAAACUGACGCUGAGGCACGAAAGUGUGGGGGAUCAAACAGG
rnacentral:rRNA from 1 species